CAUCCAUGGAAUAGGUUUAUUCAAGACAUCUGAAACAGAAUUUCGACUGACAAGUCAGACAAGGUAUUAUGAGCCAUUUGUGGCCCAUUUUCUGCCAGGCAGUGAUCAAGAGUUUUUUGUAAAACCUCAGUCUGGAGAACUCCCUCCAUUUUAUACAAAAGGAAUUGUCAUCAUUGUAGGAUUUAAACCCCGAAUGUACAGUAAGAAAUAUCAAGCAACACUUGUAAUACAGACAGAUGAAAUAUAUUGGUUGUAUGAAAUAAACGGGUUAGCUCCAUCAUCGAAAUCACUGACACAUGUAACAGCCAAAGUUGAUGCUACUAGCAAGAUAUAUGACUGCAUGCCACCAAUUCAACGUAAUUUUAUUCGUGAAAAUGCUAAACUUCGAAGCACAGCAGUAUCUUCUACUGUUAAAGGUGCUCCUUUAUUCAAAAAGCAUAAAUAAAAUUUUUAAACAU
rnacentral:lncRNA from 1 species